rnacentral:tRNA from 1 species
AAGGAUUUAAGUUAAAAAAACUCUUAACCUUCAAAGUUAAAAAUAUUAUAAUAAUAAGCCUUA